rnacentral:rRNA from 1 species
UGGGGAAUUUUGGACAAUGGGCGAAAGCCUGAUCCAGCAAUGCCGCGUGCAGGAAGAAGGCCUUCGGGUUGUAAACUGCUUUUGUACGGAACGAAACGGUUCUUUCUAAUAAAGAGGGCUAAUGACGGUACCGUAAGAAUAAGCACCGGCUAACUACGUGCCAGCAGCCGCGGUAAUACGUAGGGUGCGAGCGUUAAUCGGAAUUACUGGGCGUAAAGCGUGCGCAGGCGGUUAUAUAAGACAGUUGUGAAAUCCCCGGGCUCAACCUGGGAAUUGCAUCUGUGACUGUAUAGCUAGAGUACGGUAGAGGGGGAUGGAAUUCCGCGUGUAGCAGUGAAAUGCGUAGAUAUGCGGAGGAACACCGAUGGCGAAGGCAAUCCCCUGGACCUGUACUGACGCUCAUGCACGAAAGCGUGGGGAGCAAACAGGAUUAGAUACCCUGGUAGUCCACGCCCUAAACGAUGUCAACUGGUUGUUGGGUGCAUUAGUACUCAGUAACGAAGCUAACGCGUGAAGUUGACCGCCUGGGGAGUACGGCCGCAAGGUUG